CCUACGGGUGGCUGCAGUGGGGAAUAUUGGACAAUGGGCGAAAGCCUGAUCCAGCCAUGCCGCGUGUGUGAAGAAGGCCUUCGGGUUGUAAAGCACUUUCAGUGGGGAAGAAAGCCUUGGGGCUAAUACCCUCGAGGAAGGACAUCACCCACAGAAGAAGCACCGGCUAACUCCGUGCCAGCAGCCGCGGUAAUACGGAGGGUGCGAGCGUUAAUCGGAAUUACUGGGCGUAAAGCGCGCGUAGGCGGUCUGAUAAGCCGGUUGUGAAAGCCCCGGGCUCAACCUGGGAACGGCAUCCGGAACUGUCAGGCUAGAGUGCAGGAGAGGAAGGUAGAAUUCCCGGUGUAGCGGUGAAAUGCGUAGAGAUCGGGAGGAAUACCAAUGGCGAAGGCGGCCUUCUGGACUGACACUGACGCUGAGGUGUGAAAGCGUGGGUAGCAAACAGGAUUAGAUACCCCAGUAGC
rnacentral:rRNA from 1 species